CAGGACACAGACCCAAACCAGAGGACAACAACUCUACAUUGACUCAGAGGAAUCCUCCAGGACGACGACACAAACCAAAACCACUGCACAACUCUACAUCAACUCCCACACUUUCCAGAGGAUUCCUCCUGUAUGCUGUUCAUGGUGAAGAGCAACUUGAGGCUGACAGGGAUGCAAGUUGGACUGCUUAUCAAAGACAAAGGCCAGCUACAAGUCUUCAUC